AAACAGGUGCUAAUACCGGAUAAUAAAGCAGAUCGCAUGAUCAGCUUUUGAAAGGCGGCGUAAGCUGUCGCUAAGGGAUGGCCCCGCGGUGCAUUAGCUAGUUGGUAAGGUAACAGCUUACCAAGGCGACGAUGCAUAGCCGAGUUGAGAGACUGAUCGGCCACAUUGGGACUGAGACACGGCCCAAACUCCUACGGGAGGCAGCAGUAGGGAAUCUUCCACAAUGGACGCAAGUCUGAUGGAGCAACGCCGCGUGAGUGAAGAAGGUUUUCGGAUCGUAAAGCUCUGUUGUUGGUGAAGAAGGAUAGAGGUAGUAACUGGCCUUUAUUUGACGGUAAUCAACCAGAAAGUCACGGCUAACUACGUGCCAGCAGCCGCGGUAAUACGUAGGUGGCAAGCGUUGUCCGGAUUUAUUGGGCGUAAAGCGAGCGCAGGCGGAAAAAUAAGUCUAAUGUGAAAGCCCUCGGCUUAACCGAGGAACUGCAUCGGAAACUGUUUUUCUUGAGUGCAGAA
rnacentral:rRNA from 1 species